GAUGAAGAACGCAGCGAAAUGCGAUAAGUAAUGUGAAUUGCAGAAUUCAGUGAAUCAUCGAAUCUUUGAACGCACAUUGCGCCCGCCAGUACUCUGGCGGGCAUGCCUGUUCGAGCGUCAUUUCAACCCUCGGGCCCCGCAUUCGUGCGGGCCCCGGGUACAGUAACUUCACUGUUGAGAUGCCCUGGGAGCCGCUGGCUGGGUCAGCCGUAAAACCCCCGACAUAGGCCUUCCUGCCCGCCCCCGGCGGGGAGGGAGACCGCCUAAUUUUGACCUCGGAUCAGGUAGGACUACCCGCUGAACUUAAGCAUAUCAAUAAGCGGAGGA
rnacentral:misc_RNA from 1 species